GUGCCAGCCGCCGCGGUAAUACGUAGGGUGCGAGCGUUGUUCGGAAUUACUGGGCGUAAAGGGCGCGCAGGCGGAAUAGCAAGUCGGAGGUGAAAGCCCGGGGCUCAACCCCGGAGGGUCUUUCGAAACUGCUAAUCUAGAGAGGGUCAGGGGCCAGCAGAAUUCUUGGUGUAGAGGUGAAAUUCGUAGAUAUCAAGAGGAAUACCGGUGGCGAAAGCGGCUGGCUGGGGCCACUCUGACGCUGAGGCGCGAAAGCGUGGGGAGCAAACAGGAUUAGAUACCCUGGUAGUCCACGCCGUAAACGAUGAGCACUGGAUGUCCGGAGGGUUCGACCCUUCUGGGUAUCUCAGCUAACGCAUUAAGUGCUCCGCCUGGGGAGUACGGUCGCAAGACUAAAACUCAAAUAAAUUGACGG
rnacentral:rRNA from 1 species